rnacentral:rRNA from 1 species
UACGGAGGGUGCGAGCGUUGUCCGGAAUCACUGGGCGUAAAGGGCGCGUAGGCGGUCUGGUAAGCGUGUGGUGAAAGCCCGGGGCUCAACCCCGGGUCUGCCGUGCGAACUGCCGGACUUGAGCACUGUAGAGGCAGGUGGAAUUCCGAGUGUAGCGGUGGAAUGCGUAGAGAUUCGGAGGAACACCGGUGGCGAAGGCGGCCUGCUGGGCAGUGUCUGACGCUGAGGCGCGACAGCGUGGGGAGCAAACAGG